rnacentral:lncRNA from 1 species
CUUCAUGUGACCUGCCUCACAGCAGAUGUUCCCAAAAGGACACGAUGCCAUAGGCCCAAUGGUUUAAAAUGUCCCUGGUCCUCCGUGGAACUUGCUGGGUAACGGGGGAAACGCCAAGGCCCCCUCUCAGGAGUCCAUUACUUGCCUGAGCCCCAGACUUGAGUCCUAUUAUGGUUUUGAAUUUGCCUCCAUGCAGUUCAGCAUGACCUUAGAGGCCCUCUGGUUCAACGAGUGAGGCCUGCAGCCUGGACAGAGAGAAGAGACUUCCCCAGGGCCUCAGGAUUUGAGGAAAUCACACCUGCGUGUUGGACUCUAAAGCUCCCCAUCUUUCCAGAUACAGCAUAAAUCCUGACCUCUGUCUUUUAUCAGACAUCCGAAGUUCACAGCCUAAGACUCUAGCUGGGUUGGACCACACACAAGAGGGCAAGACACCAGGACUGCUGGCUGAGCUUGCGGGAAGGGUUGGGAGGCAGCAGGCUGUAAGCAGCCUGGAGCACCAGCCUAGACCAGGACGCCUCCACCUCAGCAACACCGCAGCCAGGUCAUUCUGUGUCAUGGAGCCAUCUCGUACGCUGCAGGAUUUGGGCAGCACCCUUGGCCUCCACCCACUAGAUGCUAGUGGCACCCCCGAGUUGUGACAACCCUUUCUGGUCUCCUGACAAUGCAUAAUACCCCUUGGGGGGCAAAAUCACCUCUGGCUGAGAAACACUGGUUUAUGAACCCUAUCGCUAUUAAAAAACCACUGAACUGUA